rnacentral:rRNA from 1 species
CCUACGGGGUGCUGCAGUGGGGAAUAUUGGACAAUGGGCGAAAGCCUGAUCCAGCCAUGCCGCGUGUGUGAAGAAGGCCUUCGGGUUGUAAAGCACUUUCAGUGGGGUAGAAAGCCUUGGGGCUAAUACCCUCGAGGAAGGACAUCACCCACAGAAGAAGCACCGGCUAACUCCGUGCCAGCAGCCGCGGUAAUACGGAGGGUGCGAGCGUUAAUCGGAAUUACUGGGCGUAAAGCGCGCGUAGGCGGUCUGAUAAGCCGGUUGUGAAAGCCCCGGGCUCAACCUGGGAACGGCAUCCGGAACUGUCAGGCUAGAGUGCAGGAGAGGAAGGUAGAAUUCCCGGUGUAGCGGUGAAAUGCGUAGAGAUCGGGAGGAAUACCAGUGGCGAAGGCGGCCUUCUGGACUGACACUGACGCUGAGGUGCGAAAGCGUGGGUAGCAAACAGGAUUAGAUACCCGGGUAGUC